ACCAAAGAUAUCUUAAACAACUUAUAUCAAUUG
rnacentral:rRNA from 1 species